AUGAACGCUAGCUACAGGCUUAACACAUGCAAGUCGAGGGGCAGCAUUUUAGUUUGCUUGCAAACUAAAGAUGGCGACCGGCGCACGGGUGAGUAACACGUAUCCAACCUGCCGAUAACUCGGGGAUAGCCUUUCGAAAGAAAGAUUAAUAUCCGAUAGUAUAUUAAAACCGCAUGGUUUUACUAUUAAAGAAUUUCGGUUAUCGAUGGGGAUGCGUUCCAUUAGUUUGUUGGCGGGGUAACGGCCCACCAAGACUACGAUGGAUAGGGGUUCUGAGAGGAAGGUCCCCCACAUUGGAACUGAGACACGGUCCAAACUCCUACGGGAGGCAGCAGUGAGGAAUAUUGGUCAAUGGACGAGAGUCUGAACCAGCCAAGUAGCGUGAAGGAUGACUGCCCUAUGGGUUGUAAACUUCUUUUAUAUGGGAAUAAAGUAUUCCACGUGUGGGAUUUUGUAUGUACCAUAUGAAUAAGGAUCGGCUAACUCCGUGCCAGCAGCCGCGGUAAUACGGAGGAUCCGAGCGUUAUCCGGAUUUAUUGGGUUUAAAGGGAGCGUAGGUGGAUUGUUAAGUCAGUUGUGAAAGUUUGCGGCUCAACCGUAAAAUUGCAGUUGAAACUGGCAGUCUUGAGUACAGUAGAGGUGGGCGGAAUUCGUGGUGUAGCGGUGAAAUGCUUAGAUAUCACGAAGAACUCCGAUUGCGAAGGCAGCUCACUAGACUGCAACUGACACUGAUGCUCGAAAGUGUGGGUAUCAAACAGGAUUAGAUACCCUGGUAGUCCACACAGUAAACGAUGAAUACUCGCUGUUUGCGAUAUACAGUAAGCGGCCAAGCGAAAGCAUUAAGUAUUCCACCUGGGGAGUACGCCGGCAACGGUGAAACUCAAAGGAAUUGACGGGGGCCCGCACAAGCGGAGGAACAUGUGGUUUAAUUCGAUGAUACGCGAGGAACCUUACCCGGGCUUAAAUUGCAUUUGAAUAAUCUGGAAACAGGUUAGCCGCAAGGCAAAUGUGAAGGUGCUGCAUGGUUGUCGUCAGCUCGUGCCGUGAGGUGUCGGCUUAAGUGCCAUAACGAGCGCAACCCUUAUCUUUAGUUACUAACAGGUCAUGCUGAGGACUCUAGAGAGACUGCCGUCGUAAGAUGUGAGGAAGGUGGGGAUGACGUCAAAUCAGCACGGCCCUUACGUCCGGGGCUACACACGUGUUACAAUGGGGGGUACAGAAGGCAGCUACCUGGCGACAGGAUGCUAAUCCCAAAAACCUCUCUCAGUUCGGAUCGAAGUCUGCAACCCGACUUCGUGAAGCUGGAUUCGCUAGUAAUCGCGCAUCAGCCAUGGCGCGGUGAAUACGUUCCCGGGCCUUGUACACACCGCCCGUCACACCAUGAGAGUUGGGGAUACCCGAAGCCUGUGAGCCAACAGUUAAAUGAGGCAGCAGUCGAAGGUAGAAUCAAUGAUUGGGGUG
rnacentral:rRNA from 1 species